rnacentral:rRNA from 1 species
UACGUAGGGGGCAAGCGUUGUCCGGAUUUAUUGGGCGUAAAGAGCGUGUAGGCGGUUUGGUAGGUCCGCUGUGAAAACUCGAGGCUCAACCUCGAGACGCCGGUGGAAACCAUCAGACUAGAGUCCGGAAGAGGAGAGUGGAAUUCCUGGUGUAGCGGUGAAAUGCGCAGAUAUCAGGAAGAACACCAGUGGCUAAGGCGGCUCUCUAGUACGGUACUGACGCUGAGACGCGAAAGCGUGGGGAGCGAACAGG